ensembl:snoRNA
AUGGAAAUGAUGACAUCAGAGUUUGUGACUGUCGGUGAUGCUUUGAGUAUUCAUACUGUCUGAUCCAC